GGAAGGGCCGCGGUAUUUUGACCGUGCAAAGGUAGCAUAAUCAUUAGUUCUUUAAUUGUGAUCUGGUAUGAAUGGCUUGACGAGACAUGAGCUGUCUUAAGUAAUGAAUAUUUAAUUGAAUUUGGUCUUUAAGUUAAAAUUCUUAAAUGGUUUUAUGGGACGAGAAGACCCUAUAGAGUUUAACAUUUAACUUGCUUCUAUUGAUUUGUUUGUUUUAGUUUUAUUAAGUAAUUUAAAUGUUUUGUUGGGGUGAUGGGAGGAAUUUAUUUAACUCCUCUUUAUAAUGCAUAUUUAUCUAUAAUCUUUUGAUCCAUUGAUUUUGAUUACAAGAUUAAAUUACCUUAGGGAUAACAGCGUUAUCUUCCUUGAGAGUUCUUAUUGGCGGGAAGGUUUGCGACCUCGAUGUUGGAUUAAGGUUAAUUUUUGGUGUAGGAGCUAAAUUGAUUGGGUCUGUUCGACCUUUAAAACCUUACAUGAUCUGAGUUCAGACCGGCGUGAGCCAGGUUGGUUUCUAUCUAUAAUUUAAUAUUAUACCUUAGUACGAGAGGACCGGGUAU
rnacentral:rRNA from 1 species